CUGAUUAUUCGCACCAUUCCUCGAAUGGUGGGUUAGCGUACGACUGGCAAAAACGACAACGACCCGCCCCACGAGGCGGGUUUU
rnacentral:sRNA from 2 species